rnacentral:rRNA from 1 species
GACGAACGCUGGCGGCGUGCUUAACACAUGCAAGUCGAACGGAAAGGCCCUGCUUGCAGGGUACUCGAGUGGCGAACGGGUGAGUAACACGUGGGUGAUCUGCCCUGCACUUCGGGAUAAGCCUGGGAAACUGGGUCUAAUACCGGAUAGGAGCCAUUUUUAGUGUGAUGGUUGGAAAGUUUUUUCGGUGUAGGAUGAGCUCGCGGCCUAUCAGCUUGUUGGUGGGGUAAUGGCCUACCAAGGCGGCGACGGGUAGCCGGCCUGAGAGGGUGGACGGCUACAUUGGGACUGAGAUACGGCCCAGACUCCUACGGGAGGCAGCAGUGGGGAAUAUUGCACAAUGGGCGCAAGCCUGAUGCAGCGACGCCGCGUGGGGGAUGACGGCCUUCGGGUUGUAAACUCCUUUCGCUAGGGACGAAGCUUUUGUGACGGUACCUAGAUAAGAAGCACCGGCUAACUACGUG